rnacentral:rRNA from 1 species
GGCCGCACAGCGAGAACAUGUGGUUUAAUUCGAUGAUACGCGAGACCUUACCGGCUCGAACGGCAGAGAAGAUGCGGAGACGCAAACGCCUUCGGGGCUUCUGUCGAGGUGCUGCAUGGUUGUCGUCAGCUCGUGUCGUGAGAUGUUGGGUUAAGUCCCGCAACGAGCGCAACCCUUGUUCUUUGUUGCCAGCACGUGAAGGUGGGAACUCAAAGAAGACUGCCGGUGACAAACCGGAGGAAGGCAGGGAUGACGUCAAGUCAUCAUGGCCCUUACGUCCAGGGCUACACACGUGCUACAAUGGGUUGUACAGAGGGAAGCGAAGCCGCGAGGUAGAGCGGAACCCAGAAAGCAACUCGUAGUCCGGAUUGGAGUCUGCAACUCGACUCCAUGAAGUCGGAAUCGCUAGUAAUCGCGAAUCAGAAUGUCGCGGUGAAUACGUUCCCGGGCCUUGUACACACCGCCCGUCACACCAUGGGAGUGAAUUGCACCAGAAGUAGUUAGCUUAACCCGCAAGGGAGGGCGAUUACCACGGUGUGGUUUAUGACUGGGGUG